UUUAUGGAGAGUUUGAUCCUGGCUCAGGAUGAACGCUGGCGGCGUGCCUAAUACAUGCAAGUCGAGCGAACGGACGAGAAGCUUGCUUCUCUGAUGUUAGCGGCGGACGGGUGAGUAACACGUGGAUAACCUACCUAUAAGACUGGGAUAACUUCGGGAAACCGGAGCUAAUACCGGAUAAUAUUUUGAACCGCAUGGUUCAAAAGUGAAAGACGGUCUUGCUGUCACUUAUAGAUGGAUCCGCGCUGCAUUAGCUAGUUGGUAAGGUAACGGCUUACCAAGGCAACGAUGCAUAGCCGACCUGAGAGGGUGAUCGGCCACACUGGAACUGAGACACGGUCCAGACUCCUACGGGAGGCAGCAGUAGGGAAUCUUCCGCAAUGGGCGAAAGCCUGACGGAGCAACGCCGCGUGAGUGAUGAAGGUCUUCGGAUCGUAAAACUCUGUUAUUAGGGAAGAACAUAUGUGUAAGUAACUGUGCACAUCUUGACGGUACCUAAUCAGAAAGCCACGGCUAACUACGUGCCAGCAGCCGCGGUAAUACGUAGGUGGCAAGCGUUAUCCGGAAUUAUUGGGCGUAAAGCGCGCGUAGGCGGUUUUUUAAGUCUGAUGUGAAAGCCCACGGCUCAACCGUGGAGGGUCAUUGGAAACUGGAAAACUUGAGUGCAGAAGAGGAAAGUGGAAUUCCAUGUGUAGCGGUGAAAUGCGCAGAGAUAUGGAGGAACACCAGUGGCGAAGGCGACUUUCUGGUCUGUAACUGACGCUGAUGUGCGAAAGCGUGGGGAUCAAACAGGAUUAGAUACCCUGGUAGUCCACGCCGUAAACGAUGAGUGCUAAGUGUUAGGGGGUUUCCGCCCCUUAGUGCUGCAGCUAACGCAUUAAGCACUCCGCCUGGGGAGUACGACCGCAAGGUUGAAACUCAAAGGAAUUGACGGGGACCCGCACAAGCGGUGGAGCAUGUGGUUUAAUUCGAAGCAACGCGAAGAACCUUACCAAAUCUUGACAUCCUUUGACAACUCUAGAGAUAGAGCCUUCCCCUUCGGGGGACAAAGUGACAGGUGGUGCAUGGUUGUCGUCAGCUCGUGUCGUGAGAUGUUGGGUUAAGUCCCGCAACGAGCGCAACCCUUAAGCUUAGUUGCCAUCAUUAAGUUGGGCACUCUAAGUUGACUGCCGGUGACAAACCGGAGGAAGGUGGGGAUGACGUCAAAUCAUCAUGCCCCUUAUGAUUUGGGCUACACACGUGCUACAAUGGACAAUACAAAGGGCAGCGAAACCGCGAGGUCAAGCAAAUCCCAUAAAGUUGUUCUCAGUUCGGAUUGUAGUCUGCAACUCGACUACAUGAAGCUGGAAUCGCUAGUAAUCGUAGAUCAGCAUGCUACGGUGAAUACGUUCCCGGGUCUUGUACACACCGCCCGUCACACCACGAGAGUUUGUAACACCCGAAGCCGGUGGAGUAACCUUUUAGGAGCUAGCCGUCGAAGGUGGGA
rnacentral:rRNA from 1 species